rnacentral:lncRNA from 1 species
GCGACAACAACAGAAAUUGAGAGAUCUUUGGAGAUAGCAACUCCUGCUUGGUGCUUUCUUGCAUCCACUUCUCCGAUGAGACCCUUAGAUCUGACGUUUUGUGCUCCAUCUAUAGGAGAGAACCUCCAAUCCAUGAUGGAGUACCUCCUACCACUGGCCAAGAGGUUGUUCCUCAACAAGCAAAAGGGGGAGAAGUGAUCUGC